CGCGUAGGCGGAUGUUACAGUCAGGCGUGAAAUUCCUGGGCUCAACCUGGGGGCUGCGUUUGAUACGUGAUGUCUGGAGUUCGGAAGAGGGUCGCGGAAUUCCCAGUGUAGAGGUGAAAUUCGUAGAUAUUGGGAAGAACACCGGUGGCGAAGGCGGCGACCUGGUCCGAUACUGACGCUGAGGCGCGAAAGCGUGGGGAGCAAACAGGAUUAGAUACCCUGGUAGUCCACGCUGUAAACGAUGUGCGCUGGAUGUUGGGUGACAUAGUCAUUCAGUGUCGUAGCUAACGCGAUAAGCGCACCGCCUGGGGAGUACGGCCGCAAGGUUGAA
rnacentral:rRNA from 1 species